UACAGAGGUCUCGAGCGUUGUUCGGAUUCAUUGGGCGUAAAGGGUGCGUAGGUGGCAGGGUAAGUCGGAUGUGAAAUCCCCAGGCUUAACCUGGGAACUGCGUCGGAUACUGGAUGGCUUGAAUCCGGGAGAGGGAUGCGGAAUUCCAGGUGUAGCGGUGAAAUGCGUAGAUAUCUGGAGGAACACCGGUGGCGAAGGCAGGUCACUGGGCCGCAACUGACGCUGAGGAGCGAAAGCAUGGGGAGCGAACAGG
rnacentral:rRNA from 1 species